ensembl:lncRNA
CUCAAAGCUAAAAAUGCACUUGUAUUUUUUAAAGAUUCUGAUUUCAUAAAGUGCAUUCCAUAGCCUUUAUUCACUUUGUGAUUACUUUGUUUUCUUCUACAUCCCCUAGAAUCUAUGCAUGGGAUGAAACAUUUGUAAAUAAACCACAGCAUUACCACUGUGUUUUCAUUCACCUGUGGAAUCCAUAGGAAUUUAAAGGACACACUUUAACUUUCACGAGACUGACUUGCACUUCCAAUGUGAUUUCUGCUUCCAUGGAGGAUCAGUUCAACACAGGGAAUUAAGUAAAUGAUGUAUGUUGUUGCUCAGCACGGAGUUACUCAACUUAAUUACAGUUCUGUUGGUUUUGGCUAAAAACUAAUGCUACAAUGUUUACUUUAAUAAUUUGAAGUAAGCGCUGAGCCUCUUUAAAAUCACACUCUGUAGAGUGCAAAAACUGUAAACACUGCAGAAGCAGGAUUCCACUUAAAAACAGAUUCAUUACUUAUUUGCCAAGCUUCCUGCAGCUGGGGGAGGUUUUCUCCUCCAGCUUUUCUCAGUCAGGUAUCUUCAUACGUCACUGCUGGGAAAACUGCUUCAAAAACUUGGUGGUACUGUGCAGCUGUGCUGUGGCACCAUUCCUAAGUAAAUGCUAUCCUUGAGAGCCCUUGGCCUCUUUGCUACCUAACAGAGUGGAGAUCAGUACCUACGCAUCCUAAGGAGUUCUGCAACGCUCCGGUUCUGCUGCACAGAAUUACGUGCACUUCUUCCACCCUCGUUAUCUUAUCAGGCAGAUUCUUAACCGCAAGUAUCCGUGGGCUGAGAUUCCGGUGACUUUUAUAAUUCACUUAUAGAAUUUUCAUUGUGCUGUCAACCAGAACUCAACUUGCAGAACUAAAAGCCUCAUUUCAGGCAUCCUACAAAGACCAGCAGUUUUUGUUCAUCUUUGUGCUGACUGAAACCUCAACUAGUAAAUCAGAAGAAAAUGAUUCACUGGAAUUGCACCAGAGAAAGGAGAAAAUGGAAUUUGCAUUUUCUGCAGCCCAAGUGUUCUCAUUCCAUAGAAGAAUUCUGAAUACAAGACUUCUUUGUUAAGCAGAUCUGUACCCUUCAAUCCUUUUGCUUUUUUUUUCUCGAGAUACUGAAACAAAACAUUCAGUUUGGGGUUUGAGAGAAACAUUUUGUUCAACUUGACGUAACCAUUUUCAUUUCUAAAAAACUGAAAAAACCCAGAAGAUUAAAUAUAAAUUUGGCCCAAUUAAUUUGAAAUUUGGGAUAGAUACAAAGGAUUGAAGGCCCAUCUAAAAAAUUAACUCAUAACCCUAAUUAACUUAGAUAUUUGCAAUGUUUCAGAGUUCAUAGCCAUGUCAAUACCACAACAAUGCAUUUAUUUCACACCAGAAGCCAAGAGGAAUUAAUGUUAUGGAGGAAAUUAGUACCUCCUUAUGGAAACUUAUAGAAUAGUGAUAUUUUUCCUCACACAUUUACACUGAGCAGCACCAAAUGCAGUAUCAUGUGCAAAAAUCAAUCAUCAUAAUAUUUAGCUAUGUGAAGCGUUCACAGAGCUGGAAAUAAAGGUUAAAUAAUAAAAUUGAUGAUUUUGUCA